rnacentral:piRNA from 1 species
UUGUUCUUCUUAGUUCCAUAGAACACUA